AGCAGCCGCGGUAAUUCCAGCUCCAAUAGCGUAUAUUAAAGUUGUUGCAGUUAAAAAGCUCGUAGUUGAAUUUCGGGAUCAAUAUGUUGGUCGUGCCUCGGUACGUACUAGCUUAUUGGUUUCUCCCUUCUGACGAACCAUGAUGUCAUUUAUUUGGUGUUGUGGGAAAUCAGGACUGUUACUUUGAAAAAUUAGAGUGUUUAAAGCAAGCUAACGCUUGAAUACAUUAGCAUGGAAUAAUGAAAUAGGACGUUCGAUCCUAUUUUGUUGGUUUCUAGGAUUGACGUAAUGAUUAAUAGGGAUAGUUGGGGGCAUUAGUAUUCAAUUGUCAGAGGUGAAAUUCUUGGAUUUAUUGAAGACUAACUACUGCGAAAGCAUUUGCCAAGGAUGUUUUCAUUAAUCAAGAACGAAAGUUAGGGGAUCGAAGACGAUCAGAUACCGUCGUAGUCU
rnacentral:rRNA from 1 species